AAUAAUAAUCAUAUUUAUUUCAAGCAUAUACAUUAGGAUCUCAAGCAUUAAAUUAGAAAACAAAUAACCAAAAAAAAAAACAAUUCCACUGAACUUCAAAGCAGAAAUAUAUUUCAUGUGCUACACAUUAAUAAAGCUUUGUUUCAAUAUGUGAACUAGCAACAAACUAUAAAAAACCGAAUGUAUUCACAUAGAUGAAUAAUAAAUAUCACAAUUGUUGAAAAAGUCUUCAUCAUUCACUUCAAUAAAUUAAUUGGACUUGUGGCCAACAUUUUCAAUUAGAUCACCUGCAUUUUUCUACACAUUUGAGAUGAAAUUAGAAAUUACAAAGAAAUACAUAUAUAAUAUGAACGGGUUAAAGCAACAUUUGUCUUACUAAGAACUAACAAAAAUCUGACAUAAACUAUAAUGUAAAAGGUACAACAACCUUUUUUUUUUUGGUCAAGAUAUUUUAUUACAACAACACAUAAGUGCUGGAUUAGAAGUAACUUUGAUUACAAGCUCCUUUAACUAUAUGUAUGGAGUUAAUGCAGUCAACAAUAUUACUAACAACUUCAACAUCUUCAAUUGGAAUCGGGAAAUAAAUUGUGAGAAAGAAUCACCAUAGGCGAGUAGCACGAGUAUAGAUUAAGUUAAACUCUUUCAAAAAUCCGGAGUAAACACUAAGCGAUAAAGAGGGUGCAUUAUUUAGGUGUUGUCAAUCUUAAGGUUCAGACAUAUCUUACCCGAAUUUUAAUCUAUUAUGUUGGUGAAAAGUAAUAUUUAUAUUUGUCAAAUCUAUAGUAAAAGUUUGAAAUAAGAAAAGGCUCAACCUAAUGCUAGAGCAUCCCUUGCUUUAUCUAUAAAAGAAGCUAAUAAUCACCAACGAAAUAUCUUCAAAAGAGCUCAUAACAGAGUAAGAGAGAAUCAGCUAGCUAUUUUAGCUAAAUGCUCAUCAUAUUUUGCAAGUGAGGGGACAAAAAUUUGCAAGAAUAUCUUCAUAAGCAAAAAUAUAAUGCCAUGAAAAAGACAUUUUCUUCCGGGCGAGGCAACCUUAGACUAAGGAAAAUUGAGAAUUAAGUAAACUUUACAUUGUUUCGAGUAUUGCAAAAUUAAAUAUUUAGAAAAGAAUGUUCUUGUAAGUUAAAUACCUUUUCAAGACUCGGAGGAUGGCCUCAACCAGAAGAAUGUAGAUGAUUUUAGCCUCUCAAAACCAUGCACUGCCUGCAUCAACAGAUGAAGGAAGGUUGAAUCCGACACACCUUAGUAUAUAUCUUGAAUAUUCAUUUUAGGGUUGUUUACCAAUUGACUAAAAAUAUAUCACAUUUUUUCUCUCGUUAAGAGACUAAAAUUAAUGUGAAAUACAUGCUCACAAUCAAUCACAUAGUAUAACGAAAAAGAAAGAUGGACUUGUAUGAAUUAUAAAAGCCAAUUGGCUGAUAGCACAACUACACAAGACCUGGAAAGUUUCUGUUUCACCAAAAUUUUAUUUUGGAGCUCCAAGUACACUGUUCAAGCAACUCAAGUUUAACAAAUCAAUGGGUUAAUGGAUAAAUUUCACCCAAUUUAUUACAAACUACUGGAGUUCUAAGCUAAAGCUAGCUCCCAAUGAAUAAUAUAGUUGCAGUUAAUUUUUUUCUUAAGUGAAACAGAAGCAAAACACAAUUUCUCAAUAAAAGACUGCACUUUUUUCAAACUGCAACUUUAUACCAAGUGUUUAUCCGAAGAAAAUGAGUUUUGGAAGUUCUAAUGUUCGUAUCACAAUAGUAACCAUGAAAUACAAGAGCAAAUUGAGCUUGUACACGUGUUUCCUAUGUUUAAAGUACCAUCAGAAAUCAUUUGUCUAAGUGGCAGUAGUUUCUGCUAGCUGAAACAUGCAAACUUUGGGAUGGCGCAGAUGAUCUAUACUCCAAAUCAAAAUUCAGAAUAUAAAAUGUACCAAAUUAUUCGAAUACAACACUAACUCCUAUCCAAUGCACCUUUUAUUCACAUGAAGUAAUGUUGAUCUUCUCACAAUAAAUUUUAAGCUGCCCUGCGAGAGAUACAUAUGUUUUACAGAAGAUCACAAAAGUACAAGAUAUUACAUAUUAUAGAAAUGGAACAAGUUUUAUACUUGAAUGCAACCACCAUACCAGUGAAACUCUCAGAGAUGUUUUCCAAUCAAUAAUAAUUGAGACUGCUAAAAUGAAUCUACUUAAGACCUUUCUAUACGUAGAAACAAGGAAAAAAUGACAUUUGUGAGUACCCAAGAAAGAAAAUGACGUAAGCUGGUGCGAAGGUGCAGAGCAAGAAAAAUAUGAAAUUUGUGAGUACCCUGAAGCCAUAUAUACUUGUAGUCAAAGAAGAAAGCACAUACCGUGAGCAGCUAGGGUUGUUGCUACUAGAAUUAGGCUCACAAAUCAACUAAGGUUUUGAAAUAAAUUACUAAUCUUUGGGACAAACAAAACAAUAAAUAAUUUAUGCAUUCAUUCUUUUCUGGAAUAAGUAUCAAAUUAGAUAGCAGGAGUAACAACAAAAAUAUUAAUACCGUUUAGAAUAUAGGAAAUUACAGCAAUCGGAGACCAUAAGAUGGUAAACAUUGAAGUAGAAGAGCAGCAACCUGAAAUUGAGGCCACCUCUUCUACCAUAUCUAUCCAUUUUUUGGCCCAGACAAAUGCAAAUGAAUUCCCGUUUCUCUAGCUUUAAUAAUUUCUUCGAUGUUUUUGGAAAAAAAGAACCAUAAUUUAAAGCAAACAUUUUCUUUUGAUAGGGAUUUCAGAGGAAACACUACUUAAAGGAAGGUGAAAAGGUGCAGAAACACUACCUAAGAAGGUGUAGAAACACUUCCGCAGAUUCGUCAGAGGUGCUGUAGUAAGAAACCCUAAACUAAUAUAUCCAUAGAGAUUUUAGGGAGGCGCAUGAUCUUUUGCCCUUUUGAAAUUGGGAAAAAAUAUUUCACUUAAGAGAUACUUAUAAUAUUGGAAGGAACAUUUUAGCCAAAAAAUUUAUUGGACUUUUAGAGCACACUUAUAAAGUGUUGCUUUUU
rnacentral:lncRNA from 1 species